GGGUUGUGAGGUUAAGCGACUAAGCGUACACGGUGGAUGCCCUGGCAGUCAGAGGCGAUGAAGGGCGUGCUAAUCUGCGAUAAGCGCCGGUAAGGUGAUAUGAACCGUUAUAACCGGCGAUACCCGAAUGGGGAAACCCAGUGUGAUUCGUCACACUAUCAUUAACUGAAUCCAUAGGUUAAUGAGGCGAACCGGGGGAACUGAAACAUCUAAGUACCCCGAGGAAAAGAAAUCAACCGAGAUUCCCCCAGUAGCGGCGAGCGAACGGGGAGGAGCCCAGAGCCUGAAUCAGCAUGUGUGUUAGUGGAAGCGUCUGGAAAGGCGCGCGAUACAGGGUGACAGCCCCGUACACAAAAGCGCAUGUGCUGUGAGCUCGAUGAGUAGGGCGGGACACGUGGUAUCCUGUCUGAAUAUGGGGGGACCAUCCUCCAAGGCUAAAUACUCCUGACUGACCGAUAGUGAACCAGUACCGUGAGGGAAAGGCGAAAAGAACCCCGGCGAGGGGAGUGAAAAAGAACCUGAAACCGUGUACGUACAAGCAGUGGGAGCCCCACCACUAAGCCAGUGGUGAACUCCACAUACGCAUCCUUUGCUGAGGAUACGGUUAACGGAGCGAAAGCGACGUUCAACCUCAAAAGAAGCAGAGGGGGCUUAGUGGUGGGGUGACUGCGUACCUUUUGUAUAAUGGGUCAGCGACUUAUAUUCUGUAGCAAGGUUAACCGAAUAGGGGAGCCGGAGGGAAACCGAGUCUUAAUUGGGCGUUAAGUUGCAGGGUAUAGACCCGAAACCCGGUGAUCUAGCCAUGGGCAGGUUGAAGGUUGGGUAACACUAACUGGAGGACCGAACCGACUAAUGUUGAAAAAUUAGCGGAUGACCUGUGGCUGGGGGUGAAAGGCCAAUCAAACCGGGAGAUAGCUGGUUCUCCCCGAAAGCUAUUUAGGUAGCGCCUCGUGAAUUCAUCUCCGGGGGUAGAGCACUGUUUCGGCUAGGGGGCCAUCCCGGCUUACCAACCCGAUGCAAACUGCGAAUACCGGAGAAUGUUAUCACGGGAGACACACGGCGGGUGCUAACGUCCGUCGUGAAGAGGGAAACAACCCAGACCGCCAGCUAAGGUCCCAAAGUCAUGGUUAAGUGGGAAACGAUGUGGGAAGGCCCAGACAGCCAGGAUGUUGGCUUAGAAGCAGCCAUCAUUUAAAGAAAGCGUAAUAGCUCACUGGUCGAGUCGGCCUGCGCGGAAGAUGUAACGGGGCUAAACCAUGCACCGAAGCUGCGGCAGCGACACUGUGUGUUGUUGGGUAGGGGAGCGUUCUGUAAGCCUGUGAAGGUGGCCUGUGAGGGUUGCUGGAGGUAUCAGAAGUGCGAAUGCUGACAUAAGUAACGAUAAAGCGGGUGAAAAGCCCGCUCGCCGGAAGACCAAGGGUUCCUGUCCAACGUUAAUCGGGGCAGGGUGAGUCGACCCCUAAGGCGAGGCCGAAAGGCGUAGUCGAUGGGAAACGGGUUAAUAUUCCCGUACUUGGUGUUACUGCGAAGGGGGGACGGAGAAGGCUAUGUUGGCCGGGCGACGGUUGUCCCGGUUUAAGCGUGUAGGUGUGUGUUCCAGGUAAAUCCGGUUCACUUUAACACUGAGGCGUGACGACGAGGCACUACGGUGCUGAAGCAACAAAUGCCCUGCUUCCAGGAAAAGCCUCUAAGCAUCAGGUAACAUCAAAUCGUACCCCAAACCGACACAGGUGGUCAGGUAGAGAAUACCAAGGCGCUUGAGAGAACUCGGGUGAAGGAACUAGGCAAAAUGGUGCCGUAACUUCGGGAGAAGGCACGCUGACACGUAGGUGAAGUGAUUUACUCAUGGAGCUGAAGUCAGUCGAAGAUACCAGCUGGCUGCAACUGUUUAUUAAAAACACAGCACUGUGCAAACACGAAAGUGGACGUAUACGGUGUGACGCCUGCCCGGUGCCGGAAGGUUAAUUGAUGGGGUCAGCGCAAGCGAAGCUCCUGAUCGAAGCCCCGGUAAACGGCGGCCGUAACUAUAACGGUCCUAAGGUAGCGAAAUUCCUUGUCGGGUAAGUUCCGACCUGCACGAAUGGCGUAAUGAUGGCCAGGCUGUCUCCACCCGAGACUCAGUGAAAUUGAACUCGCUGUGAAGAUGCAGUGUACCCGCGGCAAGACGGAAAGACCCCGUGAACCUUUACUAUAGCUUGACACUGAACAUUGAGCCUUGAUGUGUAGGAUAGGUGGGAGGCUUUGAAGUGUGGACGCCAGUCUGCAUGGAGCCGACCUUGAAAUACCACCCUUUAAUGUUUGAUGUUCUAACGUGGACCCGUAAUCCGGGUUGCGGACAGUGUCUGGUGGGUAGUUUGACUGGGGCGGUCUCCUCCUAAAGAGUAACGGAGGAGCACGAAGGUUGGCUAAUCCUGGUCGGACAUCAGGAGGUUAGUGCAAUGGCAUAAGCCAGCUUGACUGCGAGCGUGACGGCGCGAGCAGGUGCGAAAGCAGGUCAUAGUGAUCCGGUGGUUCUGAAUGGAAGGGCCAUCGCUCAACGGAUAAAAGGUACUCCGGGGAUAACAGGCUGAUACCGCCCAAGAGUUCAUAUCGACGGCGGUGUUUGGCACCUCGAUGUCGGCUCAUCACAUCCUGGGGCUGAAGUAGGUCCCAAGGGUAUGGCUGUUCGCCAUUUAAAGUGGUACGCGAGCUGGGUUUAGAACGUCGUGAGACAGUUCGGUCCCUAUCUGCCGUGGGCGCUGGAGAACUGAGGGGGGCUGCUCCUAGUACGAGAGGACCGGAGUGGACGCAUCACUGGUGUUCGGGUUGUCAUGCCAAUGGCACUGCCCGGUAGCUAAAUGCGGAAGAGAUAAGUGCUGAAAGCAUCUAAGCACGAAACUUGCCCCGAGAUGAGUUCUCCCUGAGACUUAGAGUCUCCUGAAGGAACGUUGAAGACGACGACGUUGAUAGGCCGGGUGUGUAAGCGCAGCGAUGCGUUGAGCUAACCGGUACUAAUGAACCGUGAGGCUUAACCUUACAACGCCGAAG
rnacentral:rRNA from 1 species